rnacentral:rRNA from 1 species
ACGCUCGACACCUACGGGGGCAGCAGUGAGGAAUAUUGGUCAAUGGACGCAAGUCUGAACCAGCCAUGCCGCGUGCAGGAUGACGGCUCUAUGAGUUGUAAACUGCUUUUGUACGAGGGUAAACGCAGAUACGUGUAUCUGUCUGAAAGUAUCGUACGAAUAAGGAUCGGCUAACUCCGUGCCUGCAGCCGCGGUAAUCUGAGCGGGCUGGCAAGGC